rnacentral:tRNA from 1 species
UCCCUGGUGGCUCAGGCGGUAAAGAAUCCGCCUGCAAUGCGGGAGACCUGGGUUCGAUUCCUGGGUUGGGAA